rnacentral:rRNA from 1 species
AUUGAACGCUGGCGGCAGGCCUAACACAUGCAAGUCGAACGAGUGGCGGACGGGUGAGUAAUGUCUGGGAAACUGCCUGAUGGAGGGGGAUAACUACUGGAAACGGUAGCUAAUACCGACUACACUAAGAUGUGCCCAUGUGGGAUGAGCUAGUUGGUGGGGUAACGGCUCACCAAGGCGACGAGCCCUAGCUGGUCUGAGAGGAUGACCAGCCACACUGGGACUGAGACACGGUCCAGACUCCUACGGGAGGCAGCAGUGGGGAAUAUUGCACAAUGGGCGCAAGCCUGAUGCAGCCAGGCCGCGUGUAUGAAGAAGGCCUUCGGGUUGUAAAGUACUUUCAGCGGGGAGGCGUUACCCGCAGAAGAAGCACCGGCUAACUCCGUGCCAGCAGCCGCGGUAAUUC